rnacentral:rRNA from 1 species
GUCUAUGGCCAUACCACCUGAAACAUGCCUAAUCUUGUUCGAUCUCAGAAAGUAAGCAGGAUCGAACCUCGUUAGUACUUGGAUGGGAAAAAUGAACUAAAUGGGGGAAUUCUUUGGUGAAUGUACUCA